AAGAGCACCCGUGUGGUAGGGGGCCGAGCGCAGAAACCCAGCUCCAAAAGACUUUAAAAUCCAGGAAAUGAUGGAAUCCAGGGACCAACAAAGAAAAGCUCGGUGGGCAGCGCCAGCUGGCUCAUCUGGUAAAGGAGAACUUUGAGGCCGGGAAGCCUCCAGAUAGAGGCCGCGCGCUGGCCCAAGCAGGCCCGGGCACCUGCAGGCCUCUCCAGCAGAAAGAAGGAACUAUGGGGAAUCACACACCGGAGUUUGAAGUUUUUACCCAGAAGUGACCUACUUCCCUCCGUUUCAUUGACCAAAGCAGCUCACACAGCCCUGAAGAGUCAGAAGGAAACAGAGGCAAAACGUUUCGGAAGAGCCCCAAGGUCAACAGCCAAAACGGUCAUAGUUGGCCAGGUCUUCUGCAUUCAUGACCCUGUACACAGAGAUUCUGUAGCUCUACCUUCAAGAAAUGGUGGAAUCCAUUUCUGCCUCCUGGAGCCUUGGUUGGCCGUGACUCGCUAUGACAAACACAAUGUGGAGGAGGUGAUGCCGCGGCAUCUACAACCUAGGCUCAGAGGCCUUGCGCCAUCCCACCCGUUCUCUUAGAACCUGGGUCGGCCUUCUGGAAAACGAGACCUGUGGCCCAGUCACACACCAGCAAGCCAACUGGUGGACCCAGGAGGGGGGUCUCGUGACAUCAACCAGCCCCCGGCGAAUCUGCCAGAAAGCCCAGCCAACUUCAGCUGACCCCUGACCAGAUGAUCACUGCUUCUCCCUGCCCCAGUGGCUUGUGAGAAAUAAUGAAUGCUUGCUGUUCCAAGCCACCAGUUUGGGGGCAGUUUGUUACACAGCAACAGCAGACUGCUAUCAACCCUAAUGACAAUAUGGUGCUUUGUUAAAUACUCGUCGAACGAAAGACGGAGAGCAGAGCAGAUUCUUUCCCUCUCUUGCUUUCUCUACCAAAGCCCAGGCUGGGCUUCCAGGAACUAGGAAUCCUGACUUAAAACGUAAAGCCUCGGGGUGCCUGGGUGGCUCCGUCAGUUAAGCAUCCGACUUCGGCUCAGGUCACGAUCUCACGGUUCGUG